rnacentral:rRNA from 1 species
AUGGCCGGCGUGGGGGCCGGGAUGGGGGUGCUGGGCUCCGUCAUCGGCAAGCUCGCCACCCUGCUCGGCAACGAGCACAAGAUGAUCAAGCGGGUGCGCAAGGACAUCGCGUUCCUCGAGCGCGAGCUCCGCCGGAUGCAGAUCCUGGUGAACAUGCUGGCGGACAUGGAGGGGCUCGACGAGGUGGCCAGGGACUGGAAGGGCAACAUGCGCGACCUCAGCUACGACAUGGAAGAGUGCAUCGACCGCUUCAUGCUCCGCCUCGACAACGGCGAAGCAAAGGCCUGCUUCGCCAAGAGGACCGCGCGCCAGCUCAAGACCUUGUUCACGCGACAUGGUAUUGGGACCCAGAUUAAGGAGCUCAAGGCCCGCGUCAUGGAGGAGAGUGAACGGCGGCAGCGGCUGAAUCUCGACAACUACGUCCCAAACAUGUUUGUGGCGAUAGAUCCCCGGCUAGCUGCGUUCCACGGGGUGGCCAAGGGCUUGGUGGCCAUGGAUGGCCGCAGGGACGAGGUUAUCUCUUUGUUGAUGGAGAAGAGGGUGGAGCUGAAGGUGGUUGCCAUUGUUGGAUGUGGGGGGCUGGGAAAGACCACCCUUGCUAUGGAGGCCUAUCGCAAGACUGGAGGAGACUUCCAGUGUCAAGCUCAUGUGACGGUGUCACGCAUCCUUGAUCUCAAGAAGCUCUUAAAGGAUGUCCUGUCUCAGAUCGACCAAGAUACAUUCAGUAUAUGCAAGAGAUGGGACGAAGACCAACUAAUUCGUCAGAUCCAACACAUCAUGAGAAACAAGAGGUACUUACUUGUUAUUGAUGAUAUAUGGAAAGAACAAGACUGGGAAAUUAUCAGAGCGGUGUUUCCUAACAAUUAUGAUGGUAGCAGAAUAAUUGCUACUACCCGCAUUGCCAAGGUUGUCAAGUCAUGUUGUUCCAACUCUCAUGGUCAGCUCUACCAAAUGCAACCUCUGAAUGAUGUUGAUUCUGGGAGAUUGUUCUUUCAGAGAAUUUUCAACUCCGACAACUCUUGCCAUCCUCAACUAGAAGAGGUUUCAGCUAGGAUCCUAAAAAAAUGUGCUGGUGUGCCGUUGGCUAUAGUUACCACUGCGAGUUUGCUAGCCAAUUGA